rnacentral:lncRNA from 1 species
CACAUCACAAUUAAUUAGUCUAUAAACAUCGAUGCCACACUUCCACAUCACGGUUCAUAGUUCACAUUCCCCAUAAGCUGAAAUAACACAAGCUACAUCACCACCUGAUACAACACGUAGCAUCAAUACACACUAAGAAACAGAUUAACAAAUGAGUGGUCUUCACUCCCAAACAUAAUUGUACAGCUCUCCUCUUCAUCAAAGGCACAUUUGCUGAACGCUUUUUCUCCAGACUUCUUGUAGGUGGCUAGAGUUGCUCUGGUCCUUGUCCAUCCCAACUUUUUGAAAGAUGAUUUGCAUAUCAUCCCAUCACAAGAAUAAGGCUAGAAUUUGCAACAAAGACAUAAGCAAAUCGGUAAGCAAGAGUUACAAAAAAACAUCUAUCAUUGCAAUAAAAUUCCACAGUUUAGUACUGACCAUGUUCUCAUGACUGUAGCUUAUGUAAAUAUUACCUAAAAUUCUACAUUUUACAAGACACUACUUUUCGUAAUAUCCAUCAUGACAUUUUAUCUAUACUGAUAAGAGAACUAUAUCAAAAUGAAAAUGACAAAUAAAUUUAGUGGCUCGAGAUAUCUAACCAGAACAAAAGAAGCCAUUAUCUUUCUCACACAAACCACCAAGAUCGUUACCAUCAAAGAUCUGCUAGUCAAAUAGGACCCCAAUUUGUGAACGAUCCAUUUUCUUCAAAAGGAAGCAUCACUCUGCCUCGAUAACCAUAACUUGGGACCCUAAAGACCAACCAAGAGAUUUAUCAAGUUGUAUAUGGAAAGAGUAUGGUCAUCCUAAGAGGUAUUGUCUGUUUUUUGUCUGAACUUUAGCACACACAUAUAUAGUCAGCACAACAGAUUCAUUGUUGUUGCAAGUGGGCUGAAAUUAAAGCUCAGUUACAUAUCUGAGAUCAUUGGUGAUUGAGUUUUACGAUGAAGUCAUCAUUGGCAUCUUCACUGUAAUGGACUCUUCUCUUGGCUUUUGCGCUAUACUCCACAUUCAGUAAUUUAUUAUGCUAUCUUAUCAUAAGCUUUCUUUGUUGUCUAUGGACAUAAUAGCCCAUUCUCCAUUAACCUGCACUUGUAUCAAUGGUGUGUUUGUCAUGUAUAAUGCAGUACUAUUACUAUAGUAAACUAGGUAGUUUUAUAACCCGUCAGCUCUGAAUGAUGAUACAAAGCUACUACUUAAAAAUAUGCUAAACUGGACUGGAAUACAUUUAGGAAUCAAUCAGACUAGGCGGGGAUUCCCUCAUGGCUAGUACCGCUAGCAUAGUUGGGAGAAUCAUACCUAUUCUGACAUAUUACAUCUACUAUAGAGAAAUAAAUCAAAUAUAAUUGCCCCCUGUAGCUAGCUACGAUUUAACACAUAGAAGUCAAUGAGACAGACUAGCUGGGGACUACAACAUAAACUUGUGGAGCAUACUUACUAGAACCUGGUCUGAACGUAAUUGGUGGGUAUCUAAGGAAAACUGGUGGCACACCUACAAAUUCAGCCAUCUCACUGGAGGGGAGCUGCUUGGACAGUAAUUCGUAAAAUAACCUGAGUGGUUCCUUCGGCCAAACUUGGAGGAUCUUAGAUCAAAAUGGCAUUAUGAUUUAUGGAUCUCCCACCUCCUAUACCCUGCAAAGCAUAACACAGCAGAUUAGAUAGCAUUACAUGGUUGAAGUUGAAGAGAAAUGUCACGCUGCACAUGUUGGGAGCUAGUCCUUGCAAUCACGAACGGGCAGUCACCAAGAUUCGGGUUAGAGACAACAACACUUUCUGUAUCGAAACGGCAAAAACAUUUGUCCACGCCGUAUAACCUGCGUGUCAGUAGUAUUUAGCAGGUAGAGUAGAGAAAGACUUUUGUGACCACCAGGUGCGCACACGGUGCAGGGCCGAGCCCACCAGGGGACUUUGGCAACCAAAAGCUGACAUUUAUGCCCAAAGCUCUACUCCAGCUCUUUGCUGUGUUAAAAGCUCAGCUACCACCGCUCCGGGCUGGCAAAAGCUUUCAAAUUAAACCAUUAUGUACUGAUAUAACUGAGUGUGUGCCUCAUCUACCAUGUAUGGUGCACAUAAAUGGUCCGACGGUAAAUGCUAAACAAAACUGACACUAAUUACCAAGCUGCCAUGUUAGAAAAUUUGAUAGAAAGUUGGUUUACUGGUAAUUUUGGACGGCCAAUAAAGAAACUAAAUGGAUAUUUUAAAUUUGUCCUAAUUGCAAUCACACCAGCAAUGGUUAAUUGUACAUAUGCAAUCGUUGUGUUUAGACAAUUAAUUGUUGUGUUUGUGCUAAUUGCAAUCACACCAACAACUAUCAAAAAACCAAAAACUACUGCUGCGUCCUAUACUAUAUUACUAGCAUAUUCGCUUUGCCGGCUGAAGCUAAUUUUUAUUAGUACCAUAUAUCUCUAACACGCACCAUCAUUCGUACCCAAGCGUCAAUAUGGCAAAAAUCCCUCCCACGGCUGAUGAAACGAGCAACACCGCGACACGGCGUGGCACGCGCAUGCCAUGUUCGUGUGCGUGGGAGGCCCCAGUUCUGUCUUAUAUCUAUGUACCCAGCUGUAUUGCUAACGAUGUGUGAAUUAAAAAGCUUUUCUGACACACAUCACGGGGCAAGUACCAGCGGUGAGAUAGUACUGACGAGCGGCCACCAUGUCCAGAACGGCCGCACUCUGAAGUUGAACAGCAAGCUUGAUUGGAAUUGGUUCUAAUGGGCUGACAUAUGAGUAGAAGACAACAGCCUCGCAGGGGAUGCUUGUUUGUAGUAAUUGAGUUGGCAAUUAAACAGAUCAUAAAGCUAGCAGAAAUCUGAGGAGGCUAGGUGUGGACGAGAGGAAUCAGAUACGGGAGAUACCUGAGGCGAACGGACGUGCAACGAGCGGGGCUGCUCGCCGAGGACCAUUGAGGAGGGAGG